rnacentral:rRNA from 1 species
AGUGAACGCUGGCGGUAGGCCUAACACAUGCAAGUCGAACGGCAGCACAGUAAGAGCUUGCUCUUACGGGUGGCGAGUGGCGGACGGGUGAGGAGUACAUCGGCUUCUACUUUUUCUUGGGGGAUAACGUAGGGACACUUACGCUACUACCUCAUACGACCUACGGGUGGAAGCAGUGGAUCUUCGCACCUUUCGCGUUUGUAUUAGCCGAUGUCGGAUUAGCUAGUUGGCGGGGUAAAGGCCCACCAAGGCGACGAUGCGUAGCUGGUCUGAGAGGAUGAUCGGCCACACUGGAACUGAGACACGGUCCAGACUCCUACGGGAGGCAGCAGUGGGGAAUAUUGGGCAAUGGGCGAAAGCCUGAUCCAGCCAUGCCGCGUGGGUGAAGAAGGUCUUCGGAUCGUAAAGCCCUUUUAUUAGGAAAGAAAAGAAGCAGGUGAAACCACGGAUGUCUUGACGGUACCCAAAGAAUAAGCAACGGCUAACUUCGUG